rnacentral:rRNA from 1 species
UGGCCGCAUUAUUUUGACUGUGCAAAGGUAGCAUAAUUAUUAGUCUUUUAAUUGAAGGCUUGUAUGAAUGGUUGGACGAAGUAUUAACUGUUUCAUAUAAAUUUAUAAUAAAAUUUUAUAUUUUAGUAAAAAAGCUAAAAUUUAAUUAAAAGACGAGAAGACCCUAUAAAUCUUUAUAUUUAAGUUUUAAUUUAAUUUUUUAAAUUAAUUUAAUUAAAUUUAAUUUAAUUAUUUUAUUGGGGUGAUAUUAAAAUUUAUAAAACUUUUAAUUUUAAAUAUACAUUAAUUUAUGUUUUAUUGAUCUAUUAAUAAUGAUUAUAAGAAUAAGUUACUUUAGGGAUAACAGCGUAAUUUUUUUGGAGAGUUCUUAUCAAUAAAAAAGUUUGCGACCUCGAUGUUGGAUUAAGAGAUAAAUUUAGGUGUAGAAGCUUAAAAAUUUAAGUCUGUUCGACUUUUAAAUUCUUACAUGAUCUGAGUUCAGACCGGCGUAAGCCAGGUUGGUUUCUAUCUUUAAUUUUUUAUAAUAUUUUAGUACGAAAGGACCAAAUAUUAAGUUUAUAAAAAUUUAUUUUUUUUUGAAAAUAAUUAAAUAA